CCGCCGGCACCACUACUAUUACUACUACUACUAUUCUACUAAUACUACCACUACUACUAUCGGCUACGCAACUAGGCAGACUACUACCAGCCGCCAUCGCACACCACCAACAUCACGACCUUCCUCUACACUCGCCGUAACACCAUCGCGACCGGUUACCAUCACCAUCAUCCGAAUGUCGUGAACGACGAGGACGAUGACGGCGACGGCGGAGCGGCACGACACAAGCGCUCCGAUGCAUUACCGUUCUCUUAGAGUGCAUGCAUGCAUGUAUGCAUACGUGCGCAUGUGCGUAUGUGCGUUGCACGUGCACAUAGACGCGCGUCCUUAGCGGCGUCCACCGUGAGCCACGAAACGCCAAGCCGCGUCGUGCCCGUCAUCGACGUCGCCGUCGCCGUCGUCGUCGUUCUCUUCGUCGUCAUCAUCGUUGUCGGUCCAAUUGCACAUUUUACGUGCGCGCCCGACCGCUGAUACUGCCUUCUUCUCCCUUCUUUCUUCUAUCUCCCUCUCUCUCGGUCCCUCUCUUCCUCCGUACCUGCGACGGUGUACGCCGGGUACAGAGCACCACAAAAGUUUCGACUUCCUUCGCCGAAGUUUCGGAAAGACGGAGGGAAGAUAAAGGCGCGCCGAGUCGACCGACUGCCGUUUAGGCGAUCCUAAAGCGUCGCUUUCUUGCGCGGAAUGUGCGAGAAGAAGAUCGGAAUAAGUUUGAAAUAUUGGUGUAAAAUGUAUCAUCGCGCGAACCGGAAUCGUCGGUAUAAUUUUUUCAGGGGGAUUUUCUAUCUUGAUGUGCAACUGCGCUAGCGAAGAGGGAAGUGCGCCAAAUUUUCAUUGAUAUUCGUCAAAUCGAAUAUCAGCUAACUGCACCAUCGACCGACCUUGGGUCAAUCAAAGUGGAAAACAUGCCCGUAUGACGUAAUGGAUAUCGAGUGCGUGCUGUCACCGAUCGAAUGUAGCAGGACGAUUGACAGCGACGAUUGUUUCUCAUCCACAUGGCCGGGGUUCUACAUUGGAAAAUGCACAGGCUGCUUCUCGAACUGUACCAUCGGGCUUGCACAAAGAGCGGCCCGAGCACACUCCAAUCUAAGCAACACAUAGGAAAACUGUGUAUGCCGUCCACGGUUCUAAGAGCCGUUCCCUUCAUUUAGCCGAGGCAACGUCGCGGGCGAGGCUAUUCGCCGAAGUCAUUAAGCUCGCAGAUUUCUGAAAAACGAUUCGCGCGUAACGGGCCGCACGUCUCUCACUCGACGACGCUUCACGCUUCACGCUUGGCCUUCACGCUGAAGCUGAUGACGUCAUACCCUUCUAAACAGGAGGGGCCCGGGCGGCUAAACAUGGCCGUGGAUUUAGGCAGCCAAUCGUGGUACGCCAACGAGGAUCCCCUUUCUAAGCGGCCUAGCUACUCUUCGUGGGAACAUAUCGACGCAUUUCGACGGAGUGGGUGACGCAAAAUGGCUACUUUCGAUGACACCGGCUUCGUCCCUCCGAACGCUCAUUACGAAUCUAUAAUUAAACGCAAAAUUAAUGAUUCGCGUUCAUUAAACCCUAUUAUUCGAAACA